UUUAGAAAUUAUUUUCUCACAAAUACCCCCUCUUUCCCCAUCUCAUCUUUUGGGCUUAUGGGCUGCAAAGAUAAUCCAUGGUAUCUUCAAGAGCUCAAUUAGGGAAGUCACUUCGUUUAUAGCGAUUAUAAAUUCAUUAUUCACGAACUUUAUUUACCCGUUUCGAUCUCGUCGGUAAUUUCUUCACUUCGUCAGUUUUUUCAGUUUCUUCAAUUCCGCAAUUAGAUUUUGCAAUUGAAUUCCAAGUUUCGAUCUUUUCCCAUAAUAAUAAUCUUUUUCAACAAGAUGGAAACAAUGGAAACUCUUCCUAUUGAUAUAAUCACUGAUAUUUCUCUUAAAAUUACCUGCAAAACCACUUCUUCGCUUCAAAAGCGUAUGUAAAUCAUGGUAUGAUCAAAUCAACGGCCUUGAUUUCGUCAAAAGCCAUUUAAAACGAUCAUUAACCAUUCAAUCUAAUCUCUAUUAUGUUUAUAGAAAAUUUGUUCAUCACAUUGCUGAUUUUGAUUGUUUUGAUAAUGCUGUUGAGUUGAAUUACCCUUGUAACUUGUAAGAGACAAGAUGAUGGUGACGCUAAGAUAAUAGGAUCAUGUAAUGGGUUGCUUUGUUUUUGGAAUUAUGAUUUUUAUAAUUUCAUUGUGUUUUUAUUCAAUCCCACCACUCGAACUUACAAAGUGAUCCCUGUUUUACCAAGGCCUUCGUGUGUUGCCGGUCUCACUAACAAGUUUAUUCAUGGGUUUGGUUAUGAUAGUGUGUAGGAUGACUACACAUGUGUUAGGAUUUCUUCAGUGUGCGGGGAGGGGGCUGUCUCGUACUCUCGUAUAGCGAACUUAUGGUUUAUAGCUUGAAAUCGGACUUGUGGAUGAGUACUUGAUCAUGUCCCUAUUCGCUCCACGUGUAGGCAUGGAGAAGGUGUAUUGGUUAAUGAGAAGUUACAUUGGGCUGAUGAUAUUAGGCUUCAUGAUCUGACACUUCUUAUAGUUAGCUUCGAUCUUAGUACACAUAGUUUUGGUGAGGUGCCAGGGCCAGUGCUAGUGCCACUGGAUGACAUUGAUGAUGUGUCUUCCUAUAUGUCGAUAAAUGUGGGGGUUUUAGAUGGGUGUUUGUGUAUCUUGGUAAACCACCGAUAUGUAUCCGAGAUAAUGGUAAUGAAGGAAUACGGGGUGGUUGAAUCGUGGAGUAAGCUACUUCGAGUUUGGAAAGGUGAAUCCGUCAAUGAUAUAGAGAGGACUACUGCCUACACCAGAAGCAAGAAGGAAUUGCUUAUAAGGCUUGUCCUUCAUAGGUUCGCUUCUAUCAACUUAGAAGAUAUGGUGAUUGAAGGAUCAAUUCCUAUUCAUGAUCCUUCAAGGCAACAUGAUGUUCAUGUUUGCGUGGAGAACCUUCUUAUGUUGGAUUGCCUUAGUGACCUUCCUGAGAGCGAGCAACAAGGAGAAAACACGAGGAAGAGGAGACGGAUGAGAAGAGGAAGGAGGAGAAACUGAUCACUGACAAUCUGACAUAAGGCUUCUUGAAAUGGAUUCACAAUGGAAAGAAUAAAGAUGGAGAAACUUGCAGCUGAUAAUAUCCUUGAUCAAUUAGGUGACUGAAGACAUCUAUGUCUUUGGGCUCAAAAUGUUAUGAAUGGAAGAGCGGUGCGGAGAUCUUUCUUUCUGUCAUCAAAUCGAGUCCGUUAUUGGGACAUUGUUCCAAAUCAUAAGACUAUCAGAUUCUUCUGCAGUAUGUGAAGAUCCUUAAUACCUGGAAUCAGCUUAUUUUAUUGAUUUAAAGGAUUGUUUAGUAGGUGAUAGUAUAUGAUAAUAUUAGUAAUAAUCAUAUAUCUGAGUAAGAAUAGUUUCAAUCCAACGUUCAAUUGUUCUUCGUAAUGUGACUCUUCCUAGGCAUGCGUGUUUGUUAAAAGAAUUUCUUUACCAUAUACUAUAUAUGACCCACUUGUUAAUGUUCAUUAA